GGUUCGGCCCUCGGCGGACUGCUCAGUAACACGUGGAUAACCUGCCCUCAGGUGGGGGAUAAUCUCGGGAAACUGAGGAUAAUACCCCAUAGGCCAUUGAUGCUGGAAUGCUCUCUGGCCGAAAGCUCCGGCGCCUGAGGAUGGGUCUGCGGCCUAUCAGGUAGUAGUUGGGGUAACGGCCCAACUAGCCUGCGACGGGUACGGGCCUUGAGAGAGGGAGCCCGGAGAUGGACUCUGAGACACUAGUCCAGGCCCUACGGGGCGCAGCAGUCGCGAAAACUUCACACUGCGGGAACCCGUGAUGAGGGAACCCCAAGUGCCUGGGCAUUAGCUCAGGCUGUUCACCUGUCUAAAAAACAGGUGGAGUAAGGGCUGGGUAAGACCGGUGCCAGCCGCCGCGGUAAUACCGGCAGCCCAAGUGGUGACCAUUUUUAUUGAGCCUAAAACGUCCGUAGCCGGUCCGGCAAAUCCCUGGGCAAAUCGGGCAGCUCAACUGUUCGACUUCCAGGGAGACUACCGGACUAGGGACCGGGAGAGG
rnacentral:rRNA from 1 species